GCAGCAGUGAGGAAUAUUGGUCAAUGGACGCAAGUCUGAACCAGCCAUGCCGCGUGCAGGAUGACGGCUCUAUGAGUUGUAAACUGCUUUUGUACGAGGGUAAACGCAGAUACGUGUAUCUGUCUGAAAGUAUCGUACGAAUAAGGAUCGGCUAACUCCGUGCCAGCAGCCGCGGUAAUACGGAGGAUCCAAGCGUUAUCCGGAUUUAUUGGGCGUAAAGCGCGCGCAGGCGGUCUUUUAAGUCUGAUGUGAAAGCCCCCGGCUUAACCGGGGAGGGUCAUUGGAAACUGGAAGACUGGAGUGCAGAAGAGGAGAGUGGAAUUCCAAGUGUAGCGGUGAAAUGCGUAGAUAUUAGGAGGAACACCAGUGGCGAAGGCGACUAUCUGGACUGUAACUGACGUUGAGGCACGAAAGCGUGGGGAGCAAACAGGAUUAGAUACCCUGGUAGUCC
rnacentral:rRNA from 1 species